GCACAGCCCUGGCCCUGGCCCGGAAGGGUGCCCAACUGGGCCUGGUGGCAUUCCGGCGCCAUUACAUGAUCACACUGGAAGUCCCUGCUCGAGACAGGAGCUAUGCCUGGUUGCUUAGCUGGCUCACCCGCCACAGUACCCGUACUCAGCACCUCAGUGUCGAGACUUCGUACCUUCAGCAUGAGAGCGGCCGCAUUUCCACUAAGUUUGAAUUUGUCCCCAGCCCUGGAAACCACUUUAUCUGGUAAGGUUGGGAGCUAGGGAGGGCUGUGAGAGUAGAAAAGAAUGAUGGGAACAGGGUUUGACCCAUUCACUCACUCUGUUUUGAUUGUUCUUAUUCAGGUAUCGGGGGAAAUGGAUCCGGGUAGAACGAAGUCGAGAGAUGCAGAUGAUAGACUUGCAGACGGGGACUCCUUGGGAAUCUGUCACCUUCACGGCCCUGGGCACUGACCGAAAGCUCGAGAGCUAGCCUUGCAGCAGGAGGAAGGGAAGACUGUGAUGUACACAGCUGUGGGCUCUGAAUGGCGUCCCUUUGGCUAUCCACGCCGCCGGCGACCACUGAAUUCUGUAGUUCUACAACAGGGUCUGGCUGACCGAAUUGUCAGAGACGUCCAGGAAUUCAUCGAUAACCCCAAGUGGUACACUGACAGAGGCAUUCCUUACAGACGUGGCUACCUGCUUUAUGGGCCCCCUGGUUGCGGAAAGAGCAGUUUUAUCACAGCCCUGGCUGGGGAACUGGAGCACAGC
rnacentral:sRNA from 1 species